GCACCUAUGGCGUAGUGGCUAGCGCGCUUGCUCUUGAAACUUUGGACCGGGGUUCGAUUCCUCGAGGGGUUU